AGGGCACUUAACCUAGUUAAACAAGAUAAGAUGGGGAUUUGAUCAUCCUUUCUUAGUCCAAAAACCACCACCCUUCAUAUUGCAUUGACCUAAAUCUUUAAUUUAAAAUUAAUUAGAUACUGACCCCUAAGGAUUUUCGAGUUCAAUAGGACAAGAGAACCGGAAGGUUGGAUCGGGUUUGACUUUGACUAACCAAUUGGUGUCUAGGAAAGUGGUU
rnacentral:lncRNA from 1 species